UACGUAGGGUGCAAGCGUUAAUCGGAAUUACUGGGCGUAAAGCGUGCGCAGGCGGUUUUGUAAGUCUGUCGUGAAAGCCCCGGGCUCAACCUGGGAAUUGCGAUGGAGACUGCAAGGCUUGAAUCUGGCAGAGGGGGGUAGAAUUCCACGUGUAGCAGUGAAAUGCGUAGAGAUGUGGAGGAACACCGAUGGCGAAGGCAGCCCCCUGGGUCAACACUGACGCUCAUGCACGAAAGCGUGGGGAGCAAACAGG
rnacentral:rRNA from 1 species